rnacentral:misc_RNA from 1 species
GAUGAAGAACGCAGCGAAAUGCGAUACGUAGUGUGAAUUGCAGAAUUCAGUGAAUCAUCGAAUCUUUGAACGCACAUUGCACCUCUCGGUAUUCCGGGAGGUAUGCCUGUUCGAGCGUCAUUUGUACCCUCAAGCUCUGCUUGGUGUUGGGUGUUUGUUCCGCCUCUGUGUGUGAACUCGCCUCAAAACAAUUGGCAGCCGGCGUACUUGUUUCGGAGCGCAGCACAUUUUGCGAUCCAGAUCAACGUACAGCGGCAUCCAAGAAGCCUUAUUUAACGCUCUUGACUUCGGAUCAGGUAGGGAUACCCGCUGAACUUAAGCAUAUCAAUAAGCGGAGGA